rnacentral:rRNA from 1 species
GUGCAGCAGGCGCGAAAACUUCACAAUGUGCGAAAGCACGAUGAGGGAAUCCCAAGUGCUUGCACGUAAGUGUAAGCUGUUUCUCUGUCUAAAACGCAGAGAGAGUAAGGGCUGGGUAAGUCGGGUGCCAGCCGCCGCGGUAAUACCUGCAGCUCGAGUGGUGACCGUUAUUAUUGGGCCUAAAACGUCCGUAGCCGGUUUAAUAAAUGCCUGGGUAAAUCGGACCGCUUAACGGUUCGAAUUCCGGGUAGACUGUUAAACUUGAGACCGGGAGAAGCUAGAGGUACUCCUGGGGUAGAGGUGAAAUUCUGUAAUCCUAGGGGGACCACCAGUGGCGAAGGCGUCUAGCUAGAACGGGUCUGACGGUGAGGGACGAAGCCC